AAGAUCUUAAGUUAAAAAAACUAUAAGCCUUCAAAGCUUGAAAUAAAAAUAUAUUUUUAGAUCUUG
rnacentral:tRNA from 1 species